GGGGGUGUUCUGGAUUCUACCUUUGGUUGGAGCGCUCCGCUGCCUGUCGAGAGUCGUGGGUCUCUCGUAAAAACCCCUGCGAAAACAAAUAAACGGCAACACCGAAGAAAUGCCCCUGGCCGCCUAAUUAGGCAGCCUCGUAUGUCCGGCGACUCCUGCUGGCCGGAACGUACGUCGACAGCAGGAAUAGUCCGCGUGGUCGUCCCUGACGAGCGGGCCGUAUCUUCAUCCAGGGUCUAGCCGACGACGAGCGCGUGCCGUCACAUGUCGUUGGCGAAGUUAACUCGGCACUACACCGGUAGAGGCGGAUCGUGAAGGCCAGAGGCACCCGGGUUCAACUCCCGGCACCUCCACCA
rnacentral:tmRNA from 1 species